rnacentral:sRNA from 1 species
GCCAGGCCUGGUGGCGCACACCUGUAAUCCCAGCAACUCAGGAGGCUGAAGCAGGAGGAUUCCAAGUUCAAAGCCAGCCUCAGCAAUGGUGAGCUGCUAAGCAACUCAGUGAGACCCUGUCUCUA